rnacentral:piRNA from 1 species
UGUCCAAUGAACGCAUAGUGAGG